CCUGGGAAUACCAGGUGUGCUGUAAAACAUUAUGAUUCAGUUAAUUGAAUCAAUUUCGAAUAAAAGGAGUCAAUCAUUCAUUCAGGAGAUGUCCACACACUCUAUAAAUGGCCCGAAUUCAACUGGACAGUAGACUUAUGGCCACAUUUCCCUCAGCACGCCUGAUCUUUGAAUCUAAGCAGGGUCGGGCCUAGUUAGUACCAGGAUGUGAGACCGCCUGGGAAUCUCAGGUGUGCUGUAAGCCAUUAUGAUUCAGUUCAUUGAAUGAAUUCAGGAAAAAAAGGAGUCAAUCAUUAAUUCAGGAGAUGUCCACACACUAUACAUGGCCCGAAUUCAACUGGACAAUAGGAUUACGGCCACACCUCCCUCAGCACGGCUGAUCUAGGAAGCUAAGCAGGGUCGGGACUGGUUAGUGCUUGGAUGGGAGACGGCCUGGGAAUACCAGGUGCUGUAAGCCUUUUUGAUUGGGGUCAAUUAAUUUGUGAAAAAAAUCCUGUCAAUCAUUCUUUUAGGACAUGUCCACACACUCUAUAAAAGGCCCAAAUUCAAACUGUCAAUAGGCUUACGGCCACACCUCCCUGAGCACGCCCGAUCUCGUCUGAUCUCGGAAGCUAAGCAGGGUCGGGCCCGGUUAGUACUUGGAUGGGAGACCGCCUGGGAAUACCAGGUGCUGUAAGCCUUUUUGAUUGGGGUCAAUAAUUUGUGAAAAAAAUCCUGUCAAUCAUUCUUUUAGGACAUGUCCACACACUCUAUAAAAGGCCCAAAUUCAAACUGUCAAUAGGCUUACGGCCACACCUCCCUGAGCACGCCCGAUCUCGUCUGAUCUCGGAAGCUAAGCAGGGUCGGGCCCGGUUAGUACUUGGAUGGGAGACCGCCUGGGAAUACCAGGUGCUGUAAGCCUUUUUGAUUGGGGUCAAUUAAUUUGUGAAAAAAAUCCUGUCAAUCAUUCUUUUAGGACAUGUCCACACACUCUAUAAAAGGCCC
ensembl:lncRNA